rnacentral:rRNA from 1 species
UACGGGGGGGGCAAGCGUUGUUCGGAAUUACUGGGCGUAAAGGGCUCGUAGGUGGCCAACUAAGUCAGACGUGAAAUCCCUCGGCUUAACCGGGGAACUGCGUCUGAUACUGGAUGGCUUGAGUUCGGGAGAGGGAUGCGGAAUUCCAGGUGUAGCGGUGAAAUGCGUAGAUAUCUGGAGGAACACCGGUGGCGAAGGCGGCAUCCUGGACCGAUACUGACACUGAGGAGCGAAAGCCAGGGAGCAAACGGG